rnacentral:rRNA from 1 species
AUACGGAGGAUCCGAGCGUUAUCCGGAUUUAUUGGGUUUAAAGGGUGCGCAGGCGGCCAUUUAAGUCAGCGGUUAAAUCGUGGGGCUCAACCCCAUUCUGCCGUUGAUACUGGGUGGCUUGAUUGCGGUCGAGGUUGGCGGAAUUCGUUGUGUAGCGGUGAAAUGCAUAGACAUGACGAAGAACACCGAUUGCGUAGGCAGCUGGCCAGACCGCAAAUGACGCUCAUGCACGAAAGUGCGGGGAUCGAACAGGAUUAGAUACCCUGGUAGUCCGCACAGUAAACGAUGAAUACUUGUUUUCGGCGAUAUAAUGUCGGAGGCAAAGCGAAAGCGAUAAGUAUUCCACCUGGGGAGUACGCCGGCAACGGUGAAACUCAAAGGAAUUGACGGGG